rnacentral:tRNA from 1 species
CAAGGCGUAGCUAUAAGUCCCUAAAGCAUUCAGCUUACACCUGAAAGAUGCCCCUACAAAUGAGGUCGCCUUGA